rnacentral:lncRNA from 1 species
CCCAGUCAAAACUGUUCGCUGCUCUGGCACCCCAAUGGUGGAACAAGCUCCCUCACGACGCCAGGACAGCGGAGUCAAUCACCACCUUCCGGAGACACCUGAAACCCCACCUCUUCAAGGAAUACCUGGGAUAGGAUAAGUUUUGUGAUAUCCAAAUGGUAGUUACAUUCUUGUCCCAUCGCUGCAACUCCUAUACGGACUCAGGAGAGGCGAAGGUCGAGAUCCAUGCAUGCGGGCAGUGCAGUUGCCAUACCAGGCGGUGAUACAGCCUGACUAGAUGCUCUCAAUUGUGCAUCUGUAACAUUCCUGACAAACUCAGUCAACGUGCCCAUGUCAGCAUCAAUGUUAUUCUCAGAGGCUCCCCGGAACACAUCCCAGUCCGUGUGACCAAAACAAUUUUGAAGCAUGGAUUCCAAUUGAUCAGACCAGUGUUGAAUAGACCUUAGCACAGGUACUUCCUGUUUGAGUUUCUGCCUAUAGGAAGAGAGGAGCAAAAUGGAGUCAUGAUCUGAUUUGCCGAAGGGAGGGCCUUGUAGGCAUCUCGAAAAGAGAGUUCGCAUUCCUGUCUGUGUGAUGAACUGAAAACCCAGCUGGCUGUAUUGACAGGUACAUUAUAUUCUGAGAUAGCUGUGAUUCCAUGAAACAGAGUACGUUACAGUCCCUGAUGUCUCUCUGGAAGGAGAUCCUCGCCCUGAGCUCCAAAGACUGAACAUUAGCGAGUAAUAUACUCAGAAACGGUGGAUGGUGUGCCCGCCUCCUGGGUCGGACUAGAUGUCCACUCCGAAUACCUCUACUCCUCCGGCGGUGAUUUGGAGCAGCCUCUGGGAUGAGUUCAAUUGCCCUGGGGGGUACGAACAAAGGAUCCAAUUUCGGAAAGUUGUAUUCCUGGUUGUAAUGCUGGCAGUUUCCAAGGAGCUUCCAGUUCUGGCUGCGGCACAAACACAAUUUCCGUAAUGUCGUUUACCCGUGGCGAGAAGUCCCGGCUGUCAGCACCACCUCAACCCAGCAAGGGGAAAUAGUAGGCGACACAUGACAGAUUCUUAGGCCACAGCCCUGCAGCCCUCCAACCCCAGUGACCCGCUCCCUUUUAGGGACAGCCUUGAAAGAUCACCCGUCAUUGUGUCUUGUAUGGGGACCACGGCUAAGAAGGAUCAAGGUCUGCUUGUUACUCUGACCCAGUGAUCAAGAAUGGACAACGCAACACAUUAUAACAACCCCCCUCUCCAGCCAGCUAACCAACUUCUCAAAAAAAAGAAAGGAGAAAAAAAUUAACACAUGGCAUAACUAAACUCAACCAACUACAUGAAAGACCCAUUUUUGGGACCCCGUUGUCACGCCCUGACCAUAGAGAGCCUUUUAUUCUCUAUGUUGGUUAGGUCGGGGUGUGACU